rnacentral:rRNA from 1 species
CAUAUCAAUAAGCGGAGGAAAAGAAACCAACAGGGAUUGCCCUAGUAACGGCGAGUGAAGCGGCAACAGCUCAAAUUUGAAAUCUGGCUCUUUUAGAGUCCGAGUUGUAAUUUGCAGAGGGCGCUUUGGCGUUGGCAGCGGUCCAAGUUCUUUGGAACAGGACGUCACAGAGGGUGAGAAUCCCGUACGUGGUCGCUAUCCUUCGCCGUGUAAAGCCCCUUCGACGAGUCGAGUUGUUUGGGAAUGCAGCUCUAAAUGGGAGGUAAAUUUCUUCUAAAGCUAAAUACUGGCCAGAGACCGAUAGCGCACAAGUAGAGUGAUCGAAAGAUGAAAAGCACUUUGGAAAGAGAGUCAAAUAGCACGUGAAAUUGUUGAAAGGGAAGCGCUUGCAGCCAGACUUGCCUGUAGUUGCUUAUCCGGACUUUUGUCCGGUGCACUCUUCUAUAGGCAGGCCAGCAUCAGUUUGGGCGGUUAGAUAAAGGUCUCUGUCACGUACCUCUCUUCGGAGUGGCCUUAUAGGGGAGACGUCAUGUAACCAGCCUGGACUGAGGUCCGCGCAUCUGCUAGGAUGCUGGCGUAAUGGCUGUAAGCGGCCCGUCUUGAAACACGGACCAAGGAGUCUAACAUCUAUGCGAGUGUUUGGGUGUCAAGCCCAGACGCGUAAUGAAAGUGAACGGAGGUAGGAACCCUUUGGGUGCACUAUCGACCGAUCCUGAUGUCUUCGGAAGGAUUUGAGUAAGAGCAUGGCUGUUGGGACCCGAAAGAUGGUGAACUAUGCUUGAAUAGGGUGAAGCCAGAGGAAACUCUGGUGGAGGCUCGCAGCGGUUCUGACGUGCAAAUCGAUCGUCAAAUUUGGGCAUAGGGGCGAAAGACUAAUCGAAC